GUGCUCAUGUCAUCAGCACAUAUACUAAAAAUGGAAAUACAGAGAAGAUUAGCAUGGCCCCUGCAUAAUGAUGACAUGAAAAUUUGUGAAGUGUUCCAUAUUAAA
ensembl:snRNA U6 U6 spliceosomal RNA